rnacentral:rRNA from 1 species
CCUACGGGAGGCAGCAGUGGGGAAUAUUGCACAAUGGGCGAAAGCCUGAUGCAGCAACGCCGCGUGAACGAAGAAGGCUCUUGGGUCGUAAAGUUCUGUUCUGAGGGAAGAAGAAAGUGACGGUACCUCAGGAGAAAGCCCCGGCUAACUACGUGCCAGCAGCCGCGGUAAUACGUAGGGGGCAAGCGUUAUCCGGAUUUACUGGGUGUAAAGGGCGUGUAGGCGGGCAUGCAAGCCAGAAGUGAAAUCUGGGGGCUUAACCCCCAAACUGCUUUUGGAACUGCGUGUCUUGAGUGAUGGAGAGG